AGCGUUGUCCGGAUUUAUUGGGCGUCAAGAGCGUGUAGGCGGCCGUACAGGUCAGCUGUGAAAACUCGAGGCUCAACCUCGAGACGUCGGUUGAAACCGUACGGCUAGAGUCCGGAAGAGGAGAGUGGAAUUCCCGGUGUAGCGGUGAAAUGCGUAGAGAUGUGGAGGAACACCGAUGGCGAAGGCAGCCCCCUGGGCUAACACUGACGCUCAUGCACGAAAGCGUGGGGAGCAAACAGG
rnacentral:rRNA from 1 species